rnacentral:rRNA from 1 species
UGCGCAGGCGGUUUUGUAAGUCUGAUGUGAAAUCCCCGGGCUCAACCUGGGAAUUGCAUUGGAGACUGCAAGGCUAGAAUCUGGCAGAGGGGGGUAGAAUUCCACGUGUAGCAGUGAAAUGCGUAGAUAUGUGGAGGAACACCGAUGGCGAAGGCAGCCCCUGGGUCAAGAUUGACGCUCAUGCACGAAAGCGUGGGGAGCAAACAGGAUUAGAUACCCUGGUAGUCCACGCCCUAAACGAUGUCUACUAGUUGUCGGGCCUUAAUUGACUUGGUAACGCAGCUAACGCGUGAAGUAGACCGCCUGGGGAGUACGGUCGCAAGAUUAAA